AUAAAAUUACAGUUUGUAGAAUGCAAUUAUGGAUGCUACCCCACAAGUGAUUCAUUAUUCAAACUCUAAUCACCAAUUGCACAGAAAUUUCUAAUUCAUUCCAAAAAUAAAAUAAAAUAAAAUUUCUACACCAAUUAAAAAAUCAACCCAAAAAAUAAAAGAAAAAGAAGGCUACAGGAGAAUGGAGGGGUGAAAAAUCCACUUCACAAUCAUUGUAUCUGGCACUAUAAGAUAAACCAAGUACCAAACGAAGCACAAGAAGAAGGAGAGAGAG
rnacentral:misc_RNA from 1 species